rnacentral:rRNA from 1 species
CAAUAGCGUAUAUUUAAGUUGUUGCAGCUAAAAAGCUCGUAGUUGGAUUUCGGAUGGGAUUUGCCGGUCCGUCGUUACGAUGUGCACUGGCCAGUCCUAUCUUGUUGUCGGGGACUAGCUCCUUGGAUUCACUUCCUGGGACUAGGAGCUGACGAGGUUACUUUGAGUAAAUUAGAGUGUUCAAAGCAAGCCUACGCUCUGAAUACAUUAGCAUGGAAUAACACGAUAGGACUCUGGCUUAUCUUGUUGGUCUGUGAGACCAGAGUAAUGAUUAAGAGGGACAGUCGGGGACAUUCGUAUUUCAUUGUCAGAGGUGAAAUUCUUGGAUUUAUGAAAGACGAACUUCUGCGAAAGCAUUUGUCAAGGAUGUUUUCAUUAA